UACGUAGGGGGCUAGCGUUGUCCGGAAUCAUUGGGCGUAAAGCGCGUGUAGGCGGUUCGUUAAGUUCGUCGUGAAAGCCCCGGGCUCAACCUGGGAAUGGCGAUGGAAACCAUCUGGCUAGAGUCCGGAAGAGGAGAGUGGAAUUCCUGGUGUAGCGGUGAAAUGCGCAGAUAUCAGGAAGAACACCCGUGGCGAAGGCGGCUCUCUGGGACGGUACUGACGCUGAGACGCGAAAGCGUGGGGAGCGAACAGG
rnacentral:rRNA from 1 species